UUCUAGAGCUAAUACAAUUAAGCUCUGACCUGCAUUUAUUAGAACAAUGGUGGAUCUGAAUAACUCAGCUGAUCGCAUUCGUACCGGCGACGUAUCUUCCAAGUGUCUGCCUUAUCAACUUUUGAUGGUAGUUUAUGCGACUACCAUGGUUGUAACGGGUAACGGAGAAUAAGGGUUCGACUCCGGAGAGGGAGCCUGAGAAACGGCUACCACAUCCAAGGA
rnacentral:rRNA from 1 species